AAAGGAAUAGACGGGGAUUCGCACAAGCGGUGGAUCAUGUGGUUUAAUUCGAUAAUAAACGAGGAACCUUACCAGGGCUUGAAAUGUUAGAUGAAGCUGUUAGAAAUAAUAGCCGGUCCCUUUACGGGAAAGUCUAACACAGGUGCUGCAUGGUUGUCGUCAGCUCGUGCCUUGAGGUUUACCCUUAAGUGGGAUAACGAGCGCAACCCUUAUCUUUAGUUGUUCCGCUUUAAAACGGAAGAAAUCUAAAGAGACUGCCGGUGGUGAACCGGAGGAAGGAGAGGAUGACGUCAAAUCAGCACGGCUCUUACGUCCUGGGCGACACACAUGAUACAAUGGCCGGUACAAAGGGUCGCUAAGCCGUAAGGCGGAGCUAAUCCCAUUAAAGCCGGCCCCAGUUCGGAUUGAGGUCUGCAACUCGACCUCAUGAAGCCGGAAUCGCUAGUAACCGUAUAUCAGCCAUGAUACGGUGAAUACGUUCUCGAAUCUUGUACACACCGCCCGU
rnacentral:rRNA from 1 species